ACGGCUCAGUAACACGUGGCUAACCUGCCCUUGGGACGGGAACAUCCCCGGGAAACUGGGGUUAAUUCUCGAUAGGUGAAGAUUCCUGGAAUGGGUUUUCGCCCAAAAGACGCUUAGGUCAUGCUUCUAGACGUUGCCCAAGGAUGGGGCCGCGGCCGAUCAGGCUGUUGGUGAGGUAAAGGCUCACCAAACCUUUGACCGGUUCGGGCCGUGGGAGCGGUAGCCCGGAGAUGGGCACUGAGACAAGGGCCCAGGCCCUACGGGGCGCAGCAGUCGCGAAAACUUCGCAAUAAGCGAAAGCUUGACGGGGCCAUCCCGAGUGCCAUCUGCUGAGGAUGGCUUUUACCCAGUAUAGAUAGCUGGGGGAAUAAGGAGAGGGCAAGUCUGGUGUCAGCCGCCGCGGUAAUACCAGCUCUCCGAGUUGUGGGGACGUUUAUUGAGCCUGAAGCAUCCGUAGCCGGCUGUGCAAGUCCUCUGUUAAAUCCAGCGAUAAAUCGUUGGCCUGCGGGGGAUACUGCUCGGCUAGGGGGCGGGAGAGGCCGUCGGUAUUCUUGGGGUAGGGGUGAAAUCCUAUAAUCCCAGGAGGACCACCAGUGGCGAAGGCUGUCGGCUGGAACGCGCUCGACGGUGAGGGAUGAAAGCUGGGGGAGCGAACCGGAUUAGAUACCCGGGUAGUCCCAGCUGUAAACGAUGCAGGCUAGGUGUUAGGGCGGCUACGUGCCGCUCUAGUGCCGCAGGGAAGCUGUUAAGCCUGCCGCU
rnacentral:rRNA from 1 species